rnacentral:rRNA from 1 species
ACGCUGACAGAUGAACCUAUAUCAGAUUAGCUAGAUGGUGGGGUAAAGGCCUACCAUGGCGACGAUCCGUAGCUGGUCUGAGAGGAUGAUCAGCCACAUCGGGACUGAGACACGGCCCGAACUCCUACGGGAGGCAGCAGUGGGGAAUAUUGGACAAUGGGGGCAACCCUGAUCCAGCCAUGCCGCGUGUGUGAAGAAGGCCUUCGGGUUGUAAAGCACUUUCAGCAGGGAGGAAGGCUUACUCUUAAUACGGGUGAGUACUUGACGUUACCUGCAGAAGAAGCACCGGCUAAUUUCGUGCCAGCAGCCGCGGUAAUACGAGGGGGGCAAGCGUUGUUCGGAAUUAUUGGGCGUAAAGGGUGCGUAGGCGGUUUGACAAGUCUUAUGUGAAAUCUUCGGGCUCAACCCGAAGUCUGCAUGGGAAACUGUCGGGCUUGAGUAUGGGAGAGGUGAGUGGAAUUUCCGGUGUAGCGGUGAAAUGCGUAGAUAUCGGAAGGAACACCUGUGGCGAAAGCGGCUCACUGGACCAUUUCUGACGCUGAUGCACGAAAGCUAGGGGAGCAAACAGGAUUAGAUACCCUGGUAGUCC